CAGGGUGUAGCUAAGACAGAAAAGCAUCUCACUUACACCGAGAAGUCGCCCGUGCAAAUCGAGCCCCCCUGA
rnacentral:tRNA from 1 species